GGAAAAUAUAAGAACAUUGUUAAAAUUGCAGAAUAAAAAGACACUACGACAGCUUUUGCUAUAGCAUUUCAUUAUUUUUCAAACAAGAAGAGUUGCACCAAAAAUAUAAAAAAUAAAACCAUAAAAAAGGGUACAAAAUGGAGCAAACUUGAAUCUUUGCUUGCUAUUAUUGGCCACCAAUUCAACUUCUUGAUGUGCAACAACAAUUGCAGUAACCAUUUCAAACUCUAAAUUUUCUUAAGUAGAACAAAGACUUAUAACAUAAAGAACUUCAGAAUAUUAAUCAACUGAACCAGAAAAAAAAAAAGUGGGCUUUCCAAGCAAACAAGGAACAUGACAAAUUUUUUCAACACUAUUAUUUUACCUUGCAAGAAGUACAAUGGAGAUGAGUAAAACCAGCUAUAAGAGGAUAAUCUUAAAGCCAGAUUCAAUCAAUUAUGAAGCAUAUAAUUAUGUGUAUGCAUAUGCAUUGGAUGAAAUUUGGGGACAAAAAUUGCUAUUCUAGUAGACAAACUAGAACAUGGGAGUAUUCAUGGCUCAGGUUGCAUCUUCUCACAUUCUUCCCGAAUUGACUGGAAAAGAACUGAGGACAGGUAUCGCUCACCGAAGCUUGGGAAAACAACUGCAAUCAGCUUCCCUGCAUUUUCUGAUCUCUUUCCAACCUUCAUCACAGCAGCUGCAGCAGCACCAGAAUAUAUGCCAACCAGUAAACCUUCCUGGAGUGCUAAUUGUUUUGCAGUUUCAACAGCUUCAUCACUUGAUAUCUGCCAACUCUAUGACUUCAUCAACAGUAUCUCGAUCCAAAUUCCCGGGCACGAAACCAGCUCCAAUCCCUUGAAUCUUGUGAGGACCAGGCUUUCCACCUGAAAGUAUGUUGCUUUCCAAAGGUUCUAUACCAAUAACCUUAAUGUUGGGAUUCUUCUCCUUUAGGAACUGACCAACUCCAGAAAUGGUUCCACCAGUUCCAAUACCUGCAACAAAGAUAUCCACCUUCCCUCUUGUAUCUUCCCAGAUUUCUGGUCCAGUUGUCUCAUAGUGUAUCUCAGGAUUUGCAGGAUUAUCAAAUUAUUGAAGCAUAGAGGCAUUUGGGUGUACUUUUCAAAAUUUCUCCAGCUUUCUGAACUGCUCCCUUCAUGCCCUUUGCUGAAUCAGUUAGAACAAGCUCAGCUCCAAAUGCUUUUAAGAGAACCCUUCUUUCCAGACUCAUUGAUGCUGGCAUAGCCAAGAUAAGUUUAUAUCCUUUUGAAGCAGCUAUAAAUGCAAGGCCAAUGCCUGUGUUUCCACUAGUAGCUUCCACAAGAAUGCUCUAAAGAUAGAUAAAAAGCUCCAUUAAAAUGAUUAAAAAAAUUACAUAAGAGUUAGUGAAUGGAGUUUCAUUUUCCAUGGCUGGUCUACAAUAAUGAUGCCAGGAAAUAAAUUAACAGUAAUUUUUUAGCCAUCUUGGACGUGAAACCUAUGCCAAAAAAAUAUAAAAACAAGACAUGAAAAAGUAUGGAUAGAAAAUAUGAGCAUACACAGACAUAAGUGCCAAACAAGUUGGAUCAAGCUGCACACUGUAUAAUAAUAAUAAUAAAAAACCAGCUAACAACUAGAUGUUGCAGUGAAUCAAUUGAACAAAGAGAGAAGAGCAGCCUUCUAUUGCUACAAAAGUCAAGGGAAAACUGCAUAAAGAAAUUAUACAAGCACCUAAAAAAUUAAAUAGACACCAAAAUGUAAACCCAAGAUAUGAAUAAAAGAAAUAAUUAAUUAUAAAUCAGAUAAAUUUAAUUUAUAAGAAUCAGGAUCAAAGUGUCCAAUCAACAAGUUGAUGGUGCAAUGAAUCAAUUGAAGAUAAAGAGUAGAGCAGUCUUCAGCUUCAAAAAUAGCCAGCCAGAUGCCAGCUGCUAACUUACCAUAUAUUACAGUACUAUUUGUCAAUAUAAACUAUUCAGGGACAACUAGAAUUUGAAAUGCAUAUCUAGCAAGAUGGUAGAUAUGGGAAUUUAAACUCGCUCCACAGGGAUCUGCACCAUCCUACCCCAAUUGGAUGUUAUCAUAAAAAUGUUUCAGGUUAAUUUUCUUUUUAUUUUCCCUUUUUAUGCAUGUUCCCUUUAUCUAGAAUUUUUUUUCCUUUGUAUAAAAUUUGAAUACAUUAUUUGUAUGUAAAUUUAUGCCUAUAACUAAAUUAAAUUUUAUUUUUUUGGAUUUAUCAGGAUAUCCCUCUAUGUUUGUUUUAUAGUCCAUGAAAAAGUAAUUCUUCGGAGUUUGUGGCUAAUUUAAUUUUAAUAAAAGGAGAAACUAUAAAAAAAGUACCAAAUGGUUUAGAGCUUUGACACUUUGGAGCUUGUGGUUCAAUUUUUGACAAAACAGUACCUUGAGCUUUCUCUCUAUUAGCACUUAAGGGGUAAACAGCUAUAACACCGUUAGUUUGCUAACAAAGCAGUAUAAAAUAACAUUUCUAAUAUGUUGUGUGUCCCAUAGUUAAAAAAAAUUAAAAAAUAAAAUAAAUUCAACUUUUACCAUUUUUAAUGGAAACUAAAAAUUUAUUUAAAAUAAAAUUAAUUUGUAAAAAAAUUUCCAACUCCUUUCCUUCCCCGAAACCCUAAGAAUUUAAGAAAGAAAUUUGUAAAGAGGCCAAAAAAAGAAGAGAAGAGGUAGAAGUGAAGAAGAGAUUAAGGUUAUGGGAUUUUUAUUUUUUAAUAAGACAAAUCCAAACUCCGCCUAAGUAGUUUGCACU
rnacentral:misc_RNA from 1 species